rnacentral:tRNA from 1 species
AGGGUUAUAGCUCAGUUGGUAGAGCACUUGCCUAGCAUGCAUGAGGCACUGGGUUCGAUCCUCAGCACUA